ACAUUUUCAAAAUCAAUUUGCAGAGAACGAAAAAAAAAGGAAAAAAGAGAAAAACGAACAAACUCUCCCUUUCAUCUCUAUUCUCACACACCGUGCUUACAGCUUUGAGCUUUCUACAUCAAAGAAAUGGCUGAAACCCUGAGCCCAAACCCGAAGCAGAGGGGACCCUUCUCCCCUUCAAGCCCUUUCUUCUUGGGCUCCAACAACGACAAACUUGAACGCGCUCAGGCACGCGCCGCUCGAGCCGCCGCCGUUCGCCGGAAACCUGUCGCCCUUACGACUGCAACUUCUCCCAAGGCGGAUACAUUGCUCGGAAAAGAACAGAUCAUCGAAUUGUUUCAGAAUUGCAUCAAACUAGCCAGCGAAAACAAAAUUAAUCAGAAGAACACUUGGGAACUGAAUUUGAUAGAUCAUCUUUACGAGAUCGUUAAAGUCGAAGAAGAGAAUGACGUGGAAACCAAUUUUCAGAAGGCAAGUUGUACCCUUGAAGCUGGAGUUAAGAUUUAUUCAAUGAGGGUGGAUUCAGUUCAUUCAGAGGCAUAUAAGGUUCUUGGAGGAAUUAAUCGUGUCGGGCAAGAGGAUGAACAAGAUAAUGUCAUGGAGAAUGCCAAUAUUGAUAAUGAGCAAGAGGAAGGCCACUCAAAGAAACAGCAAGAAAGAAAGUUGUCACCUUUGUCCACACUGGAGUCAUCUUUCGAGGCUCUAAACGUGAAGAAGUUUGAUGUUGCCUUUGUGGUGGAUCCUCUCUACCAUCAGACAUCUGCACAGUUCGAUGAAGGUGGGGCAAAGGGUCUUUUGCUGAACAAUCUUGGAGUAUAUGGUAACUGCCGAGUGCUAUUUGAUUCUCUGGAAGUACCUGGGCGGUGCUCAUCUUUUGAGGCUGAAGGUGACGGCAAUGAGAAAAUUGAUGUAUCUUUUGCUGGAGAAUGCAUCGAACAAAUGGUACUGGACAUGCCUAAGAAGAAUGAAAUAUCACCCAGUCUUAGGGCUAUAUUCGAUCUAUUUGACGAAGAUAAGCAAGAACUAUCUGAACCAUUCUCUUCAGGACAAAGUUGUUCUGGGCUAGUUUUCCAAACUGCCGAUAGUAAUAAUGAGGAAGAUAGUGAUGCAUUUGGGAAUUUUGGAACUUGGGGCUUGGAUCAUGAUGACCAAGCAAGUGUGGUAGACGAAGGAUCUUAUGAUCACGAUCAAAUUUUACCAAGCCAACCGGAGGAUAAUAAACAUUUUAUUUUUGAUGACCUUGACGAGGAUAAUAAUCCCGAGAAUGUUGAUGGCUAUUUAUUUUCAAGUUUGGGAUUUGCAUCAAAGAAAAAUGCCUGGGCGGGUCCAGAUCAUUGGAAGUAUCAGAAGGGUAAAGAUUCUAAAGAUCCAGCAAAGGAUAAUGGAUUACCAACGACCAAGAAAGCAAAAAACAGAAAAGCAGAAUCUGACAUUAAGUUGUCAAAUGUCUUGGACACUGAUGCAUCAGAUAUCUUUGCUCCUCCAAAGAACCCCAAGUCCCUGUUCCUGCCAACAAAUAGAGCACCCUGUAACACUAAACUUCCAGAAGACUGCCAUUACCAACCAGAGAAUCUCGUGAAGCUAUUUCUGUUACCUCAUGUUACGUGCAUCAGAAGGAGAGGAAGCAAGACAACAGAUGAAGUAAGUCAACAGAGAGAUGAAUAUGGAGAAAUGCCAUCAUGGGAUGAUGAAGGUGGUUUUGGAGGCACAUUUGAUGAUGGAAAUUCUUAUAGUGAUGUUGAUGAGUCAAGCACUUUGGUUUCUCAACCUCGACAGAUUAGUAAGAUUGAAGUUCAGUUCGAUAAAACAUCUAAACAAGUUGAUGUUCACUCACUUAAAGAAACUCUGUGGGACCAUAUGCAGAAAUUAAAUGAAACUUCAAUUCAGGAUGAAACAGUGUCUUUCAGGCAAGCCUUGGCCAGUUUCCCAGAUGAGUGCAAAGCAGCAUCAGUUAACGACAUAUCUCCACAUUUGUGCUUCAUAUGCCUAUUGCAUCUAGCUAAUGAGCACGGAUUGUCGAUUCAUGGCUCUCCCAGCUUGGAUGAUCUCAGCAUACAACUUAAAUGACAUGCUAUAAUGUCCCAGCUUGGUUGAUCUCCACAUUCAAAGGGAAUCAUAUUCCACUAUAGCAAUCUGAGCUUUCCAAUCUCUGACUAGUGUUGCACUUGGAUCUCCAAACUUCAGUAUGGAGCAUUUAAGUCUCCAAUCUUUCAUUUUGUUAGCACUUAGUUUUCAUUUCAAUGGACGAUGGUAAUUAUAUUUACACCAUAAUUUUUAUUUGUUGCACCAUAUGUUGAUUGACCUUAACGUUCUCAACG